UGGGGAAUAUUGCGCAAUGGGCGAAAGCCUGACGCAGCGACGCCGCGUGAGGGAUGACGGCCUUCGGGUUGUAAACCUCUUUCGGUAGGGACGAAGUGUAAAAAUGACGGUACCUGCAGAAGAAGCUCCGGCUAACUACGUGCCAGCAGCCGCGGUAAGACGUAGGGAGCAAGCGUUGUCCGGAUUUAUUGGGCGUAAAGGGCUCGUAGGCGGCCUGUCGCGUCUGUCGUGAAAGACUCGGGCUUAACUCGGGUUUGGCGGUGGAUACGGGCAGGCUUGAGGCAAGUAGGGGAGAUCGGAAUUCCAUGUGUAGCGGUGAAAUGCGCAGAUAUGUGGAGGAACACCGGUGGCGAAGGCGGAUCUCUGGGCUUGUUCUGACGCUGAGGAGCGAAAGCGUGGGGAGCGAACAGG
rnacentral:rRNA from 1 species